AUUACACGAGGCAUCACUAUUAUGAAGAGUAUCAUUCGUGAUAGAGAUAAAGCAGUAACAUAUAAUGUAAAUUGGAAUGCUGAUAACCAACUAAUUGGGUCUAAUGCUGCAAAGUUGGCAAGCUACAUUGGUACACUUGUUCGUAUGCACAUUCCAAUCACUGCUACAAGAUGGAGUAAUAAAGAGUUGGGUAGCGCUAAAGAUAAGAUUUGGACUGAGAUACUGAGGUCUUUUAACAUUGAAGAUACAACUAUCCGAAAAAAGUAUAUACUUCAAUUGGCCGGAAAAAGACACAGAGGGUGGAGAACGUUUUUAACAAACAAGUAUCUUAAGGACAAAGAAAUUUUUUUGUUGAAUAUGAUCCGGAAUAUCCAGUGAAGUAUGCGAUCUUCAUUACAGAAGAAGAAUGGGUUGCUUUUGUAGCCCAAAGAAGAGACGAAAAUUUCAAGAAAGUGAGUGCCACAAAUCGCGAGAGAGCGUCAAAUCCCACGUAUGCAUACAAAAAAGGGCGUUUGGGAUAUGCACGCUUAGAGGAAAAAAUUUUAGACGAGACGAAAAGUGACGCAACAUCACUUCCGCCACAUGUUUUGUGGAAAGAAGCUCGUGUGGGAAAGGAUGGA